UACGGGGGGGGCAAGCGUUGUUCGGAAUUACUGGGCGUAAAGGGCUCGUAGGCGGCCAACUAAGUCGGAUGUGAAAUCCCCAGGCUCAACCUGGGAACUGCAUCCGAUACUGGAUGGCUUGAAUUCGGGAGAGGGAUGCAGAAUUCCAGGUGUAGCGGUGGAAUGCGUAGAGAUCCGGAAGAACACCGGUGGCGAAGGCGGCCUGCUGGGCAGUUGCUGACACUGAGGCGCGACAGCGUGGGGAGCAAACAGG
rnacentral:rRNA from 1 species